UAAUUCAUUAGGGGUAUCAACUAUCAGUGUAAUCAACCAACGUGAGAGUUAACGUGAGAGCGACACAUAUAAAACUGACUUCUCAAAUAAUAUUAAAGAGAUAUAUAUAUAUGUUUGUAACACAUAUCCAUUUUCUAAUUUUGUUUAAAAGUCAAUUUCACAUUUUGUUUUGAUUCCACUUUUACCUACCCGGUUCUUAUUUGAUGCAACAUAGAUUCAAACUAUGUAUAUACUUUGGUAGGGACGGUACCGAAGGUUUCCCUCCUGUCUACGCAAAUCUGUAGGGUUCUAAGUUUUAUUUGCUAUUUCUGAAAUAAAAAUACUCAUAGAUGCAGAACUACUGAGCAGGUGAUUAACCCACAUCCACUUGUAGAGCCGGUCUUAAAAUUAUAUGGAUUAAAAAACUAAAGAAAGUAUAAACCUACUAGUUAAUCUAUUCUUGAACUUUUUAUAGAAUAAAUCAAAGAGUUCGAACUCUUCAACUCUUUGAAAAGUAGACUGACUCAUGCAAAUGAGAACAAACUAAAGAAAUGAAUUACUUACAAACAAUUUUCUAAAAAUUGCUAGGUGGUAACUAGACGCUUUAUAGAGAACUAGCGACUAGGCGGAUUAUUCGUGGCCUAGGCGAAGCCUAGACGUUAGCAAAUUAUUGAUUUAUUUUAUAUUAUAUAUAUAUAUAUGACAUAUUUUAGUUUUUAAGUUUAAUUAUAAAAUUAUUGUGAUAAAUUAUCAAAAUUAGAUAUAUAAAACAGAAGAAAGUAGACAAAUUUGUAGAUUUGUAAUAAUAUUCUUGCUUAAUUUAAUAUAUAUAUAGACAAUUUUAGAUCGAUUUUAAUCAAUUUUAACCGAUUUAGAACCGUUUAAACCAAUUUGAAUCAUAUAAAUCGUUAUAAAUCAGAUUUUAUGAAAAUCGUUUCGGAUAAGACCGAGUUGUUGCCUAGGCGGGGGCCUAGGCCGCCUAACCGAUUUUUAGAACCUUGCUUACAAAACAAUGGCGCAAAAGAAUUAUUUUGAAGACUCAUGUUUAUUAAGUUUUUAUCCAGGGCCGGGUCUAAUUUUAAAAAGACUUGUACCAUUUCGUUUUGACUUUUAUCCACUUAGUCUUUAAUAUGCAUUUGGAUUUGUUUUUUUUUUUCGUGUCUCUUCCUUUUAAUUUUAUCAAUAAAUUAAAGGAAAAUAGUAGAGUCAUAUAGUUUAAGGGGGUCAUUUUCAAUUUAUGGCGGAACAUGGCUUACUGCUAUGUUGAGUCGCCCUGUAUACAAUAUAUAGUUAACCUUUAUGGCUUUAUCCUUGAUUUGUGACUUCCCAUAAAUAUAAGUGAAGUAUUUUUUCCAAAGAUUGAAAUAAAUAAUGCCUACAUACACAGAGUAAACAAACUAUAUUGUUAUUUUGCUUAGGUGGACGCGGAAACAGGUUACGUCCCGGUAAUAUGCGUCAUCGCACGAUGCAAACAUGAGGACAUCGAGGCCGCUUGGGAGGCGUUAAAGUACGCGAAGAGGCCGAGGAUAUUCCUAUUCAUAUGCACAAGUGAAAUUCACAUGAAAUAUAAGUUGAAGAAGACUAAAGACGAAGUGAUCGAGAUGGCGAAAAGUAGUAUUAGAUUCGCUAAAAGAAUAGGCUUUAGUGACAUCCAAUUUGGUUGCGAAGAUGGCGGCAGGUCAAUAUCUAAAAACAUUUAUAAUAUAUAUCAACCUAUACUAUUAUUUGACAAGUGAUUUUGCCGAUUUAUUAUGUUUUCCAUGAUUUUAUAUAUAUUUGAUUAUUUGUCAUGUUUUUAUUAGUUUUUGGCAUGAGUCAUUAAUUUAUUAUAAUAUAACUAUUUCAAAUUUUGUAAUUAGAAUUAGAAUUAUUCUAUCUUUGACGAUGAUUUGUUUUUCAUAAUCUUAGUUAGUUUUGUUUGUCAUUUUUUUAUUAGUUUUUGGCUGAGUCAUUAAUUUAAUAAUUUAAAUAAUAUAGGUAUUUUUAACUUUGUAUGGAGUGGUUUUUUUUGUCAUGAUAUAUGUUCUCUAUGAUUUUAUGUAUUUUUGUUUAACUUUCAUGUUUUAUUAGUUUUUUGGAUUUAGCCAUUAAUUUAUUAUUUUAAAUAAUAUAACUAUUUCAAAUUUUUUAAUUAGAAUUAGAAUUAUAAUAUUCUGACUUUGACCAUAAAUUGACAUAUUUCCAUGAUUAUUUGGUUUUUAUUCAUGUUUUUGUUAGUUUUUGGCUGAGUCAUUAUUUUAUAAUUUAAAUAAUAUAGUAAUUUGAAACUUACUAAUUAAAAUUAUAACUAUAAUUAUUCUAACUUUGAAGAGUUAGGAUCAAUUUUUUUAUUUUUACAUUUUUUUUGGGAUUAACCUCGAGUAUCCUAGAUCUUUGAAAGGGCUCAAACCAAUUUUUCCAUAAUAAUUAUGAUAGAUCAUCCAUAUAAAUAUUUGAUAUUAUUUUAUUUUUUAUUUAAAAAUAAUUUUUUCCUUUCCCAUGAAAACAUAUUUAUCCGUUGAUUUAGUAUCUGGAUCAGGAUCAGGAUCCGUGGCUUCUGAAUAUCAAGAUUCUUGAUAUAUGUGCAGAUCUUUCUAUUUAUGACUAUCCAGAUCUGGAUCUGUAAAAUAAUUAAAUAAAAAAAAUACUAAAAUUCAAAAUAAUAAAUAAAUAUAUAGAUAUAUAUAAUUUAUGUAUGUAAUAUUAUAAAAGUUAAAAUAUAAUAUUAUAAGUCUAUUUUUUAUGCAUAAAUAUUAUAUAUCACAUGUAAUUAUUAAUAAAAAAAAAUUUUAAAAAAAAAUUCUAAUAAUAACAUAUAUAUAUAGAUAUUGUAUAAAUAUUUAAGUUAUGUAUAUAAUAUUAUAAAGUUCAAACAUAAUAUUAUAAGAUUAAUUUUUUGUAUAAAUAUUAUAUAUCACAUGUAAUUAUUAAUAAAAUAAAAAAUAUAAUAUGUUUUAAAAUAUGGAUUUGGAUCAAAAUAUCUGAAUUUAAAAAUAAAGAUAUUCGGAUUCGACUUUGACGGAUCUGAGAUUUACUAUCCAGAUCCGAGCAAUUCGGAUAUCCUAUUUUCGGAGCGAAUCGGAUCCCAGAUAAUAAGUCCCGGCCAUAAAGAAAAGGUUAUACAUAUUAUUAUUUUUAGUAAAAAUUUCAAAUUAAUUUUGAAAACACCAAAUAUACAUCAAUUAAUCUGCAAAUUAUUUUAAUUAGUGUAUUUAAAAUAAUAAGACAAACGGCUGCGUUUUAGACCAAAUCCUUUUUGGUCUAAAGGUUAAGAAGACCAAUUAUUAUUAUUUUGUUUUAAAAUUAUAUUUAUUAAUGUAUAUCUUUAAAUCAUAUUUCUUAUUGCAUAUGCGAAAUAGUCAAUUUUUAUUGUAGUUUAUAGUUCAAUAGUAGUAAAGAUAAUCUGUAAAUGAUAUUUAUUGUAAUAUAUGUCAUAUUAUAAUAAUAUGUACUCUAAUACAGAUAACUUUGCUGUAUAUUUGUAUUCAUCUUAAUAUUGCAUUAUGAUAGUUUGCCGACUCUAUUAUAUAUUUUUCAUCUUACGCUGAUGCGUAAUAAUACACAGAAACUUACCAAACUUCUCAAAAAAGACGGCACUUUUUAGUACCAAACAAAUUUUCACAUAAAUUAUUAAUUAAAAAUAUUAAAUUAAAUAAAAAAUAGCUACAAAAAAUUAAAAUGCUAAUUUUAACGACGAUAACGCUUCCAACGAAACCUUAAACCCUAAAUUUUAAAUUCUAAAUCCUAUACCCUAAAUUAUAAACCCAAAUCCAAACCCCUAAACCCAAACCCUAUACUCUAAACCCUAAUCCUAGACCCUAAACCAAAACCCUAUAUCCUAAACCCUAAUCCUAGACCCUAAACCCAAAUUAUAUACCUUAAACCCAAAAAAUAGACUAUAAACCUAAACUCUAUACCCUAAACCCAAAUCUUAGACCCUAAACCUAAACCGUAAACUUUAACCCAAACCCUAUAGCAUCUAAGUUUGGGAUUUGGGUUUAGCGUUUGGGUUUUAUGUCUAGGAUUUGGGUUUAGGGUAUAGGUUUUGGGUUUAAGAUUAACGGUUUGGGUUUAGGAUUUACCGUUUGGACUUAUGGUUAAAGUUUUAGGUUUAGGGUAUAUAAUUUGGGUUUAAGGUUUACGGUUUGGGUUUAGGGUCUAGGACUUGGGUUUAGGGUCUAGGACUUGGGUUUAGGGUAUAGAGUUUAGGUUUAUAGUCUAGUUUUUAGGUUUAGAAUUUAUAGUAUAGGGUUUAGAAUUUAAGAUUUAAGGUUUAGGUGGAAGCGUCAGCGUCGUUAAAAUUAGCGUAUUUAUUUUUUGUAGCUAUUUUUUAUUUAAUUUAAUAUUUUUUAAUUAAUAAUCUAUUUGGAAAUUUGAUUGGUCAUAAAGAAUGGAGUGAAUUUAAAGGUUCACUAUAGGAGGUGAACCUAAGAUAUGUCCCUCAAAAAAAUAUAACAAAGUUAUGGGCUGAAGAGAAAAAAACAACACCUCUUAAAACUACAAAAAAAAAAGAAGAAAAUUUUAAUUUUAAUAGGCGUAUGUAAUUAUUACUUUUAGUUUAUAAAAAGAUGAACGUUUUCUAACAAUUGCUAAUAGGGAUAUAAUAUGAGAUAGUUAAGACGGCCAAAUUUCAAAGCUUGAAACUUAAGAAUACCAUAUUAAAAAUACUUUAAAUUGAUUAUCACACGUGAUGAAAAUUUUAAAUACAAAAGAUCUAUGUUAAAUUUAAAUAUUGUUAGAUACAUACAUAUUAGUCCCCAUAAGGUUCGGACACUUACCUAGUUUCAAUAUUAUUUGUUUGGUUCGUUUGGUUUCACGUUGCUGGUAUUUCUUUUUUGACAUUCAAAAUCUUCCUACCAAUCUUAUAUGUUUACAUUUGCAUUUAUAUCUUACAAGAAGAUUUAUAUAAUUUUAAAAUGAAAUAGUCACUUUUUAAAACCAAAAUUUUACAUGCAAAAACAAACGCAUAGUUAAUCUGAACGUCAUCUAGGUCAUACAUAAUCUAGCAAAGUUUUUAGCUGUUGAGUUAUGGUGUUUGCAUGUAUACUAAUCAUGCCAAAUAUAAAUUUCAAAAUACUAGUAAUCUUAUAUGCUUACAUUUGCAUUUAUAUUUAGGCCAUGUUCGUUUUCGUAUCUCAAGUACUAAUGUGUGUAUGUGUGUGUGAGAUUCAGAUCAGACAAGGAUUUUCUAUGCAAGAUUAUGGGAGACGCAAUAAAUGAGGGCGUAACGACGGUGACCCUCGCGGACACGGUAGGGAACAACAUCCCUCAAGAAUUUGGAGAAAUGGUGACCUAUCUCAAAACAAACACUCCUGGAAUUGAUGAUGUUGUCUUCAGCCUUCAUUGUCACAACGACCUUGGUCUUGCUACCGCCAACACAAUCUCCGUAAUUAACUAUUUUGUGUUAGUCUAAUUAAGAAAAUCUCCGUACUUAAUUAACUCUUUAAUUUGUGUUAGUUUAAUUAAGACAUUCGCUGGACAAAAUAUAUAUUCUCAAGAUGACAAACAUAUAAAGCCUAUAUUAGGGUGUGUGUGCGGGAGCAAGACAAGUCGAAGUAACGAUCAACGGAAUAGGCGAAAGAAGUGGGAAUGCUUCGCUUGAAGAGGUACCAUACUCACUACCAUAAUAAUCAUCAUCACCAUGAAUAUUUAUUUGGUAUGUAGGUUGUACUGGCUUUGAAAUGUCGUGGAGCAUAUGUGAUGGAUGGUGUUUACACAAGAAUAGACACACGCCAUAUCAUGGCUACUAGCAAGAUGGUAACUUUUUAUAUAUACACAAUAUGUAUACAAGUAAAUACAAAUUUCUUUAGACCUUUAAUUAUAAUAGUUCAGUAAAAAAUAUAAAGUGGUAUUGAGCAGGUUCAAGAGUAUACUGGCUUGUAUGUUCAACCACAUAAACCCAUAGUAGGUACCAACUGUUUUGUUCAUGAGAGCGGCAUUCACCAGGUUUCGUAUCUUUAACAAAAUGACUAAUAAAAUAUACAUCUGAGAUUGAUACCAAGAAUAUUGUUAAAACAUUUUGCAGGAUGGAAUUUUGAAACAUCGGAGUACAUAUGAAAUAUUCUCACCAGAAGACAUUGGGGCCGAAAAAUCUCAAGAUUCAUGCAUUGUUCUUGGAAAGCUUAGGUAACAUGUUAUUUCUUAGUUUUGCAUAAGCAAGAUUACAUGUUUUUUGUUGAAUUUAUAUUAACAACAAUGGAAAUAUGCAUGCAGUGGACGUCAUGCUGUGAAAGAUCGGCUAAGAAAGAUAGGAUAUGAAAUCAGUGAUGAGAAGUUCAACGACAUUUUCUCACGAUUCAGGGAGUUAACCAAGCAGAAAAAGGUUUCUACAUUCUUAUGUUAUAUCUUCUCAUGCACACAUUUAUGAUUAUUAAUAGAGAUAAAUACGAUUUAAUUAGUCUAUUCACACGUAGUUGAUUUAAGUAUGUUAAUUUCUUUCAGAGGAUUACGGACGCUGAUCUUAUUGCAUUAGUGGCGUACGGUGAUAAAAUCGCAUCAGAAAAAUUAACUAUUAACGGAAAUGGCAGCUCUCUAUUUGUAUAAGAUGACAUUACUUUGACAAAAAAAUGUAAUAAGAUGACACAUCAAAUGGGAUUUGAGAUGCAUGUGUUCUUGUAAUGAAUAGAAUAAUAAUCAGUGUUGUUGGAGAAUGUUUUCUUAUAUGUUAUUUAGUUACUUCCGCAUUCUCCUGUAUUAAACUGAACUACGGAAUUGUAUCAAAACAAAGUUGUUUGAGACCUCUCUAUUCAGUGGUGGAAAAAGAAAGAACAAUGUGCUGACAAAAUUAUGAUUCUAAUUUGGCUCCAAAUAUUUUAUAUAUAUAUAUAAAUAUCGAAACAUUUCAAUAAUACUCUUAUUUUUAAUUUGAAAUCUGUCAAAUUUACUUUAAAAUUCGCAAAAUAACCGAAAAUAAACAAAUAAGUAAAUGAAACUAAUCAUUAUAGGAACUUUAGAUUAGAUAUUUAAAUUCUUAUACUACUUAAAAGAUCUAUUAAAUGUUUACAACUUAACUAUAAACUAAAACUAGAUAUGGAUCCGCACUGUGCGCGGAAAUAUUUAUACUUUAUGGUUUAAAAUUACAAUUUUAUGAUUUGGUAAUAUUUUCUAAAUAUUGAUUCGACUCCAGAUUAAUUUUUUAUUUUUGGUUUGGUUCCGGUUUGAUUGUAGAUUUUGGUUUUCGGUUCAAGAAAUAUAGUAAUAUUUUGAUUAUUUAUGAAUUUGGGUUUAGUUGAGGUUAUGUUAUUUUGAUUUUUUGUUUGUCAAAUUAAUUUUUAAUUUUUUAUAUAAUAUUUAUAUAUAUUUGACUCUAUAUAAUAUUUUAUUAAAUAUAUAUAAAAUUGAUUGGUGUUAUAAUUUGUGUUGUACAUAUUCGUCUGUAGUGAAUCUUGUUUACUUUUUAAUAUUUUAAUUUGACUUUGAUCUUAUUUUAAUUUAUUUUCGUUAAAUUUAAAAUAUACAUCAGGCAAGUCUUCAGGAUCCUCAUGUCGAUAUACAUCAUGCAUGUCCUCAGAAAAAUGACUCCAAAGACAACAUGCAAUGUGUUGAUCACUGAAAAUAGAUGAAGCAAGAUAAAAUCAUAUAAUACACGUUUAAGAAGAUAUCAAUAAUUCUUAAAAAAAAGUUUCAACUUACUUUGUAUCGGUCAAUGUAAGUUCCGGCUUCUUUUUUUCUUUCCCAAUUACUUGGACAACCUGAAGAUCGCCAAUAUCAGUGGCACGGCCAAUAUCAUCUAAAACCUUAAAACGAAAUAGUAAUUAAUGUAAAUCAAAGCUGAUAAAAAUAUUAUGAAAACGCUAACGUGUAUUUCCAACUAAUUUUUUUGAAUCAAGGCUUCCAUUCAUGAUUGCUUGUAAAGGAGUCAACGUCAAGAAAUCAUCAUCGAUUUUCAGUUCGGAAUUGGUGACAUUGGAAUUUCCUGUGAUGGACAUCUUGUAUUUCUGGUUCGUUGGUCGGUACUUUCCGUUAGCUGGAGUUACUAAGAAAUUUUAAAUAAACCUCCAUUGGCCAACCUGGAGAUUCUUCACACGAGGAAAGAAGUUCCUCUUGUAGGUAUAAUGUAACUUAACACCCUACAUUAAAAAAUAAUCAAAAUCGGUUUAGACAUUUUACAAUAGAACUUUUAGAAUAACAAAACCGUGUAACCAUUAAUACACUUACUGUCUUAUCCGGAAGAAUGAAAUCAAAAGAGUCUCCACCAGAAUAAGAUGAGUGUUGAGUCCAUGAGUGAAGAACUCUGAUUUCAACUUUCCAAGUAUCUUUAAAUGGCUUGACAUCGUUCAAUGUCGGACUGCGUUCGGAGUAACCAUAGCCAUGAGUCUUUUACUUUAUGAUUGUGAGGUGAAGAAAGAGUAGGGCAUGGAAGCAUAUUUAUAGUGAUUAGAUAGUAAGUAUAUGUAUAAUGAAGAUCUUUAGGCAUAUUCUGAUUUCAGUAGUUUGUUGAAUCAGUUACUUAGUUAAGAUAUGAAAUCAGAAUGUAGUUGUGAUGGUGAUUAAUAGCAAGCUCGAAAUAUAAGGAAAGUUGUUUUUCAGCAUUAAAAUAUUUCAUUUAAAAAUCAGAUUAAGGAAAAUUAAUUAAAAAAAAUAUUAAGUUGUUUGAAGAUAUUAUUAUGGAAGAUGCAUUAGUGUAGAUUUGAUCAAAUCUAUUAUUCAUAUGAUUUGAAUAAUAGAUAUGUAAUCUGAAUGUAGUUGGGCAGGUGGUAAACAUCGAGGUUGGAAUAUAAGAAAAUUUGUUUGAUGAUUUAAUAAUUUACUAGAUUUUGACCCGCGCUGAUUUUGACCCGCGCUUAAAAAGUGCGGAUUUAUUUUUGAAAUUAAAUAAAUUCUUCUUAUAUAACUUCUAUAUAAGAUAAUGUAUAGGUUUGGGUACAUUUACCGGGUGCACUGAACCAUAUCAAACUAAAAAACCAAAAUUAAGCUGAAUUUCAUAAAUAAUCGAGCAUAUCCUAUAUUUUUGGAACCGAAAAAAUAGAAACCGAUUAAAAUAUAAAUUAUAUACCUACAAAUAUUAAUUAUAUUUAACUUCUAAAUAACCAAAUAUCCUGAAAAUACUAUUUAUAAAUAAACUUAUGCAAAAAAAUAAUAAUGACUUGAAUGUUUUUAUUCAAAUAAUUAAUUAAAAUUAUUUAUCCUAUAUUUUUUCCAAACAACCUAAACUACCCGAUUUAAAGAGCAAGAUUUAUUACAUUUGUGAAAAUUCAAUAAAACGUAUCAUAUGCAUUGUUAGAAUUUGUAAAGUAUAUUAACAUGUUCUAUUUAAACCAGUUUUCUUUUACUAAUUACAUUUAAAUCUCUAACCCGUUUAGACCCAUUUGAUAUUUAUUUAUGGUAAGAUUAAUCAUUUAGUUCGUAUAUAAGAAUGUAAGAUCAAACCUUAA